AUACGGAGGAUGCGAGCGUUGUCCGGAUUUAUUGGGUGUAAAGGGUGCGUAGGCGGCCAUGCAAGUCAGGCGUGUAAUCCGGGGGCUUAACCUCCGAACUGCGCUUGAAACUGUUUGGCUUGAGUGGAGUAGAGGCAGAUGGAAUUUCCAGUGUAGCGGUGAAAUGCGUAGAUAUUGGAAGGAACACCAGUGGCGAAGGCGAUCUGCUGGGCUCUAACUGACGCUGAGGCACGAAAGCAUGGGGAGCAAACAGGAUUAGAUACCCUGGUAGUCCAUGCCGUAAACGAUGAUUACUAGGUGUGGGGGGACUGACCCCUUCCGUGUCGGAGUUAACACAAUAAGUAAUCCACCUGGGAAGUACGAUCGCAAGGUUGAAACUCAAAGGAAUUGACGGGG
rnacentral:rRNA from 1 species